GAUCAUUAAUGAGAUUGUUGCUUUUGGCCUAUCUAUACCCCAUUGUGUUUACUACCAUGUUGCUUCCACUGCGCCAGGCUGGCCCGUGAUACGUCCGCCCUCUGGCCUCUGGCUGGGGAGUGCUGGUGGAUAGCCCCUUCUCUGAAACCUUAAUGAAUAUGAUAUCUUGUCUGAAUAAACAAACUUGAAUAAAACUUUCAACAACGGAUCUCUAGGCUCUUGCAUCGAUGAAGAACGCAGUGAAAUGCGAUACGUAAUGUGAAUUGCAGAAUUUCGUGAAUCAUUGAAUCUUUGAACGCACAUUGCGCCUUAUGGUAUUCCAUAGGGCAUGCCUGUCUGAGCGUCAGCUACCCCCACUCUCAAGCAUUUUGCUUGGACAUCUUUGGAGAAGCUAUACUCAAGGUGUAGCUCCCCAUAAAUGCAUAGGCAGUACGGAUUUUUCUUUUGCUGAACGUAAUAUUAUAAAUGUCACGUUUGCUUGGAAGCUUCUGUGUUUGCCCUCAACCCACUUAUUCUAAAUGGGUGACCUCAGAUCAGGUAGGGAUACCCGCUGAACUUAAGCAUAUCAAUAAGCGGAGGAAAAGAAACCAACAGGGAUUGCCUCAGUAACGGCGAGUGAAGCGGCAAAAGCUCAGAUUUGAAAUCUGGCGUCAUACUGGCGUCCGAGUUGUAAUCUGUAGAGGAGUGCUCGAGUGUGGAUCUGGCUUAAGUUCCUUGGAACAGGACGUCAUAGAGGGUGAGAAUCCCGUUAACGGCCUAUGUCUUAUACUCAUGUGAGUCUCCUUCAACGAGUCGAGUUGUUUGGGAAUGCAGCUCUAAAUUGGUGGUAAAUUCCAUCUAAAGCUAAAUACUGGCAAGAGACCGAUAGCGCACAAGUAGAGUGAUCGAAAGAUGAAAAGAACUCUGAACAGAGAGUUAAAUAGUACGUGAAAUUGUUGAAAGGGAAGCACUUGCUACCAGACACGCUUGUGGUUGAUCAGCCUCCAUUAUUGGUGGUGCACUCUGCUACAAGUGGGUCAGCAUCAGUUACAAUGGUGGGAAAAAGACUGGGGGAAUGUAGCUUCUUUCGGGGAGUGUUAUAGCCCUUGGUGCAAUAUCAUCUAAUGUGACUGAGGCCCGCGCU
rnacentral:rRNA from 1 species